rnacentral:rRNA from 1 species
UAGUCCACGCCGUAAACGAUGGUUACUAGCUGUUGGGCCGAUUGGGGCUCAGUGGCCAAGCGAAAGUGAUAAGUAACCCACCUGGGGAGUACGUUCGCAAGAAUGAAACUCAAAGGAAUUGACGGGGGCCCGCACAAGCGGUGAGCAUGUGGUUUAAUUCGAUGAUACGCGAGGAACCUUACCAGGGCUUAAAUGCAGUUGGACAGGGGUGGAAACACCCCCUUCUUCGGACUGAUUGCAAGGUGCUGCAUGGUUGUCGUCAGCUCGUGCCGUGAGGUGUCAGGUUAAGUCCUAUAACGAGCGCAACCCCUGUGGUUAGUUGCCAGCGAGUAAUGUCGGGAACUCUAGCCAGACUGCCGGUGCAAACCGUGAGGAAGGUAAGGAUGACGUCAAGUCAGCAUGCCCCUUAUGCUCUGGGCUACACACGUGCUACAAUGGCCGUGACAAAGAGUUGCUACUUUGUGAAAACAAGCUAAUCUCAUAAACGCGGCCUCAGUUCGGAUUGCAGG